rnacentral:rRNA from 1 species
UACGUAGGCAGCAAGCGUUGUUCGGAGUUACUGGGCGUAAAGAGUGCGUAGGUGGUGCCCUAAGUCUGUUGUGAAAUCUCCCGGCUUAACUGGGAGGGUGCGGUGGAAACUGGGGUGCUUGAGUGUGGGAGAGGUAAGCGGAAUUCCUGGUGUAGCGGUGAAAUGCGUAGAUAUCAGGAGGAACGCCGGUGGUGUAGACGGCUUACUGGACCACGACUGACACUGAGGCACGAAAGCGUGGGUAGCAAACAGG